CCUACGGGAGGCAGCAGUGAGGAAUAUUGGUCAAUGGCCGGAAGGCUGAACCAGCCAAGCCGCGUGAAGGACGAAGGUGCCAAGCAUUGUAAACUUCUUUUGUCAAGGGACAAAAUCAGGCUCGAGAGCCUGACCGAGGGUACUUGAAGAAAAAGCAUCGGCUAACUCCGUGCCAGCAGCCGCGGUAAUACGGAGGAUGCGAGCGUUAACCGGAUUUAUUGGGUUUAAAGGGUGCGUAGGCGGACUGUUAAGUCAGCGGUAAAAGCCCGGGGCUCAACCCCGGCGAGCCGUUGAAACUGGCGGUCUUGAGAUGUCGAGAGGUAUGCGGAAUGCGCGGUGUAGCGGUGAAAUGCUUAGAUAUUGCGCAGAACUCCGAUUGCGAAGGCAGCAUACCGGCGGCGAACUGACGCUGAGGCACGAAAGCGUGGGUAUCGAACAGGAUUAGAUACCCUUGUAGUC
rnacentral:rRNA from 1 species